AAUUAUUAACGGUUCAUCUAUUUAUAUUUCCCGUAUAAAAAAACCUGCCCUGAGGCAGGUCUUUUAUUAUU
rnacentral:ncRNA from 16 species